rnacentral:rRNA from 1 species
CAGUCGCCACGGGAAUACGUAGGUGGCAAGCGUUGUCCGGAAUUAUUGGGCGUAAAGGGCUCGCAGGCGGUUUCUUAAGUCUGAUGUGAAAGCCCCCGGCUCAACCGGGGAGGGUCAUUGGAAACUGGGAAACUUGAGUGCAGAAGAGGAGAGUGGAAUUCCACGUGUAGCGGUGAAAUGCGUAGAGAUGUGGAGGAACGCCAGUGGCGAAGGCGACUCUCUGGUCUGUAACUGACGCUGAGGAGCGAGAGCGUGGGGAGCGAACAGGAUUAGAUACCCGCGUAGUCCCUGUCUCUUAUAA